AAGCCCAAAACCAAACCAGCCACACGCGGGCCAAAAUCCACAGAUCUGGGAUGAACACAUCACAAUGCAGGGAUAAACAUUCUUCAACAUGAACCACAAACUCGAACGUGCAUUUCAAAAGGCUGAGGAAUACACAAGAAAAAACGCUUAUGCUCCUCGGCAAUCCAUCCUUCAUCAGCAUCGUGUUCUCUAGAAUUCAAUGGAAUCAUCAAUAUGUUUAUCCCAAUAUUUGAUGUGGCGUUGGCGUCGGCGUCCGUUCAACAUCGCAUUUUCAAUCUUAACCGCAUCCAUGACAACCGCAUAUCCAAGGUUCUUAAUUUCGAAAACAGCUCAUCGAAUCGAAGUUUCGUGAGAUCGACAUCAAACAAAGAAUUCGCAACCCUAACAACACGAAACCGAAACAAAAAUGCAGAUUUGAAGAAAUCAAAGACUCACCGGUUUAGGGAUUGUAAGCUGGACUCGCAGAGUGAUGAAUCUGCAGAUUGAAGCCGAUGAAGCAGUGUGAAGAUGAAGUGAGGAAAUUGCAAAUGGAAGAUCGGCUUUGUAGAGGAUUGGAGAUUUGUGUAGAAGAUUGCAGUUGCAGGGUUAAGUUCAGCUUGCCGGGAAAAAACCUGUCUUCAAUCACAGGUUAUAGACUUAUGGUAUUGGACAUUGUUUCAAGGCAAUUCUAAGGCAUGACAAAGUGUUCAAAUCAAGGCAAAGUCCAAGGCAUGGUCCAUACUAAAUUGGAUGAAAAAAAUAAGAUUUCUUAUUUAUGGAGCAAAUGACCAUGGAUCCUUAUGCAAGAGUGAACAUGUAAUGAGUACUAGGAUUUAGGUCCUGAAAAGUAGGUUAGUUGACUUUGGUCAACUAAUUGACCCAAAAGUCAACUGUAGGUCAAAAAUCUUCUUCUUCUAUAAUUUGUAUGCCUUUUUGUAUAGACAAUGUAACUUGAUUUUAUGUGAAUGAAAUGCACCUUUUAAAUGAGAAA